CCUACGGGAGGCAGCAGUAGGGAAUAUUGCUCAAUGGGGGAAACCCUGAAGCAGCAACGCCGCGUGGAGGAUGAAGGUUUUCGGAUUGUAAACUCCUUUUGUUAGAGAAGAGAAUUACGGUAUCUAACGAAUAAGCACCGGCUAACUCCGUGCCAGCAGCCGCGGUAAUACGGAGGGUGCAAGCGGUAUCCGGAAUCACUGGGCGUAAAGGGCGCGUAGGCGGGAUAGCAAGUCAGAUGUGAAAUCCUAUGGCUUAACCGUAGAACUGCAUUUGAAACUGUUAUUCUAGAGUAUGGGAGAGGUAGGUGGAAUUCUUGGUGUAGAGGUGAAAUCCGUAGAGAUCAAGAGGAAUACUGAUUGCGAAGGCGGCCUGCUAGAACAUAACUGACGCUGAUGCGCGAAAGCGUGGGGAGCAAACAGGAUUAGAUACCCGAGUAGUC
rnacentral:rRNA from 1 species